ACUGUGCAGCUGCUUAGCCUGCAGGGAACAGUUUCUGAUCCCCCAAUCUCCCGUUAGCAGAGUGAUUGCUAGUCCCUGAGUUCCCCCUUUGGGGCCAGAUUGUCUCGUUCCCAGAUAGUCUCGCAUUACACCAGGCCGUGCCGGAAAGCAUUUAGUGUUUGUACAUUUUAUCCCUUAUGCACCAGAAUUAACUAGAUGCUAAAAAAGUGGGGAGCAGGGACAGUAAAAUGGGGUGUUUUAGCUUUGCUUCUAUUUCAGCAGCAAAGAGUCUUGUGGCACCUUAUAGACUAACAGACGUUUUGGAGCAUGAGCUUUCGUGGGUGAAUACCCACUUCGUCGGAUGUGCUAUUUCCGGAUGAUUGGGUGAGUGCGAGAGAUUCCCUCCUUCCCCUGUCACUGUCACACUCCACCCUCGACACAGCAGGCUCUGUCCCAGCCAUGGAAAGUUUAACCUGUCUCCGUUCUAUCCCUCCCUCUCCCAAGGUGUCACUUACCACCUGUCCCUGGCUCUCCAGGCUUAGGAGUCACAGCUUUGAGGUCUGCGAUCUUAAGUCAGAUUCCUGAGUGCUGGAGAAGGAAGCGUCACAGACCUGGGGGUGAACUUUGAAGCACAGUUUGAUCUUCAGAUUUAAUAGCCCUGUUUCCAUCUAUUGGCUGAGGAAUCACGUCCAGGUUUCACUCCAGAUCGUCCCGUCUUCCAGGAGACAGGGAAGGGAAAUGGCUGUGAUGGAGCCAGCUCAGAUGCCGGUGACCUUCGAGGAGGUGGCUGUGUAUUUCACCCAGGGGCAG